GCGGGUAUCGUAUAACGGCUAUUAUGUAUCCUUCCCAAGGAUGAGACGAGGUUUCGACUACCUCUACCCGCACCA
rnacentral:tRNA from 1 species